rnacentral:rRNA from 1 species
GGCGGACGGGUUUAGUAACGCGUGGGAACGUGCCCUUCUCUACGGAAUAGCCUCUGGAAACGGAGAGUAAUACCGUAUACGCCCUUUGGGGGAAAGAUUUAUCGGAGAAGGAUCGGCCCGCGUUAGAUUAGGUAGUUGGUGGGGUAACGGCCUACCAAGCCUACGAUCUAUAGCUGGUUUUAGAGGAUGAUCAGCAACACUGGGACUGAGACACGGCCCAGACUCCUACGGGAGGCAGCAGUGGGGAAUCUUAGACAAUGGGGGCAACCCUGAUCUAGCCAUGCCGCGUGAGUGAUGAAGGCCUUAGGGUCGUAAAGCUCUUUCGCCUGUGAUGAUAAUGACAGUAGCAGGUAAAGAAACCCCGGCUAACUCCGCGCCAGCAGCCGCGGUAAUACGGAGGGGGUUAGCGUUGUUCGGAAUUACUGGGCGUAAAGCGCGC